GAUGAACGCUGGCGGCGUGCCUAAUACAUGCAAGUCGAGCGAACGGACGAGAAGCUUGCUUCUCUGAUGUUAGCGGCGGACGGGUGAGUAACACGUGGAUAACCUACCUAUAAGACUGGGAUAACUUCGGGAAACCGGAGCUAAUACCGGAUAAUAUUUUGAACCGCAUGGUUCAAAAGUGAAAGACGGUCUUGCUGUCACUUAUAGAUGGAUCCGCGCUGCAUUAGCUAGUUGGUAAGGUAACGGCUUACCAAGGCAACGAUGCAUAGCCGACCUGAGAGGGUGAUCGGCCACACUGGAACUGAGACACGGUCCAGACUCCUACGGGAGGCAGCAGUAGGGAAUCUUCCGCAGUGGGCGAAAGCCUGACGGAGCAACGCCGCGUGAGUGAUGAAGGUCUUCGGAUCGUAAAACUCUGUUAUUAGGGAAGAACAUAUGUGUAAGUAACUGUGCACAUCUUGACGGUACCUAAUCAGAAAGCCACGGCUAACUACGUGCCAGCAGCCGCGGUAAUACGUAGGUGGCAAGCGUUAUCCGGAAUUAUUGGGCGUAAAGCGCGCGUAGGCGGUUUUUUAAGUCUGAUGUGAAAGCCCACGGCUCAACCGUGGAGGGUCAUUGGAAACUGGAAAACUUGAGUGCAGAAGAGGAAAGUGGAAUUCCAUGUGUAGCGGUGAAAUGUGCAGAGAUAUGGAGGAACACCAGUGGCGAAGGCGACUUUCUGGUCUGUAACUGACGCUGAUGUGCGAAAGCGUGGGGAUCAAACAGGAUUAGAUACCCUGGUAGUCCACGCCGUAAACGAUGAGUGCUAAGUGUUAGGGGGUUUCCGCCCCUUAGUGCUGCAGCUAACGCAUUAAGCACUCCGCCUGGGGAGUACGACCGCAAGGUUGAAACUCAAAGGAAUUGACGGGGACCCGCACAAGCGGUGGAGCAUGUGGUUUAAUUCGAAGCAACGCGAAGAACCUUACCAAAUCUUGACAUCCUUUGACAACUCUAGAGAUAGAGCCUUCCCCUUCGGGGGACAAAGUGACAGGUGGUGCAUGGUUGUCGUCAGCUCGUGUCGUGAGGUGUUGGGUUAAGUCCCGCAACGAGCGCAACCCUUAAGCUUAGUUGCCAUCAUUAAGUUGGGCACUCUAAGUUGACUGCCGGUGACAAACCGGAGGAAGGUGGGGAUGACGUCAAAUCAUCAUGCCCCUUAUGAUUUGGGCUACACACGUGCUACAAUGGACAAUACAAAGGGCAGCGAAACCGCGAGGUCAAGCAAAUCCCAUAAAGUUGUUCUCAGUUCGGAUUGUAGUCUGCAACUCGACUACAUGAAGCUGGAAUCGCUAGUAAUCGUAGAUCAGCAUGCUACGGUGAAUACGUUCCCGGGUCU
rnacentral:rRNA from 1 species